rnacentral:lncRNA from 1 species
GUUUUGCUGCCUCCAGGUGCUAGUAGCCUGCCCAGAGCUGGAGAAUUCAUUUCUGUGUGUUCUUGGAGGAUGAAGAAGGGUCCAGCAGAGUGAGAAGCUGAUUCCACAUAGCAAGCUCCCAGUUCCAAAUCCAGACUCUAGGACUUGGCAUUGACUCAUAUUUGGAGAUGGUGUUGUGAGAUGUUAUGUGAAACUUAAACAGAAGAGAUGCCCUGGUCAUGUGUGAAUGUGUCUUAUCAAGGGAAUGAACAGGAAAACAGACACAUAGGAAAACAGCAGCAUGUUGAAGGGAGAACUCACUUUCACUGUGUUCCAAGAAGAGGGGAAGAGCUCAACCCGGUGGUAAGCAGAGCGAUCAGAAGGGCUCUGACCUGUGUGAGCCCUGCUUGUAGCCUAGCCUUGUGAUCUGGGGAAGAAAUCCUAUCAUCUAGACCUGUCUUCUUUUGUUUACACCAUGAAGAAUAUUAAGCUUAUAUCCUUUAAUUGUUAACACCAAUAAAAAUAGAUAAGGUCAAAUUCUAUACACUCACCAGUCCAGUAUUAUGGAUAUUAGUCCUAAGAGCUCUCACUUUCCUUUAUUAUUUCAAAUGUUUUUCAAAAGAGGAAACUGAAGCGAAGGGAAGUUAGCUGCCAGAUUGACACUGACAAGGUAUCACCAGGUACCACUACUCUUAUCCCUAGGAUUUGAUAUCUGAUACAUCCGUGUGUUUUUACCACCCUGUAUCCUUUAGAGCAUCUAUUUUUAGGUGGAUGUGUUGCUGGAUGGAUAGAAGGAUGAAUGAAUUGAAGGUCAGGUAGAAACAAUGACUGUUGAAUAAAUGAGUGGAUAAAGGGAUAGAUAUUAAAGAUGGAUGGAUAGAUAAUGAAGGAUGAAUGGAUACUGAAGAAUAGAUUGAGACAUGAAUGGGUAGUGAAGGGUCUGUAGGCAACAAAAGAGGUAUGUAUACAUG